rnacentral:rRNA from 1 species
GGGCCUGCGUUUCAUUAGCUAGUUGGUAGGGUAAUGGCCUACCAAGGCAACGAUGAGUAGCUGGUCUGAGAGGAUGAUCAGCCACACUGGAACUGAAACACGGUCCAGACUCCUACGGGAGGCAGCAGUGGGGAAUAUUGCGCAAUGGGCGAAAGCCUGACGCAGCAACGCCGUGUGAGGGAUGAAGGCUUUCGGGUCGUAAACCUCUGUCGGAAGGGAAGAACGGGCAAGGGUCCAAUAGGCCCUUGUUUUGACGGUACCUUUAGAGGAAGCACCGGCUAACUCCGUGCCAGCAGCCGCGGUAAUACGGAGGGUGCAAGCGUUAUUCGGAAUUACUGGGCGUAAAGCGCACGUAGGCCGCUUUGUAAGUCAGGGGUGAAAUCCCACGGCUCAACCGUGGAACUGCCCUUGAAACUGCAGAGCUUGAAUCCUGGAGAGGGUGGCGGAAUUCCUGGUAG